CACUGCCGGAAACAAAGACGACAGGAUAUUUACCCGGGAGACCUGGCUGUGUGUGCCGUGACUUGAAAUAUUCAUGAUUGACCACAGACGUGCCAUCUUGUUUCUUACUGGGCAGUCAUGAAUGAUAGAAGCUUCAUCCCUCUCUUGUGGCCAUCAGCAUACCAGCUUCCACAAAGCUACCCAUCUCCGGAGGCGAUCGACCCUCAGCAGAGCCAGAAGAGGUUGUCCAGGAAGGGAUGUGGCCAGUGAGGAGGCCUGACCUCAUCUCCUGUACUUGGCUCAACUCUGACACGCUGUUCUCCCACACUCUUGCCCUGUUUUCUCUGCCAUCGGCUGGCCAGCUCUCACCAGGGGCCAAGCCAAGAAGAGCCAACUGCUGGUGCCCUUGUGGCCGCCUCCAGGGUUGGGAACCGAAGCCUGCCCCUGCCAGGUAGCACGUCCAGUGGGGCUUCGAGGGGGCACACUAAGAUAAAAAGUAAUUUCCAGAUGGUAUAAAGACACCAAAGGAAAAAGCUGGGUCAGGUAUGGGGUUCACAGCUGGCAAUGACCCCAGGGCUCCCCAGCCAGGGAGGGCUGAGGAAGGUGAGCUGAUGGAAGUACAACGUCCGUCUAUAGGAUCGGUGCGAUCACGGCAUACAGUUGUGUCUUGUUUUUGUUGCUUUUAAGUAGAUCCAGUGGCUGUGUCCCUGACCCCACCACAGCUCUGAGGGGUAACUUCCUUUGGUGGGAAGACAUCAGCGACUAGAAGGGAUCAGGGGAGGGCAGACCCAGUUUCCAGGAGACUUAUUAACAAUCAGAAGACAAAAUACUUCCUGGUGGUUGUGCCAAAAACAGCAGCAGCAAUAGUAACAGUAAUGACAAUGGCAAAAAAUAAUGGCACAGCAAACCCUGAAUCCACCAGACGACCAACAUCCAUCUCCCCACCAGCCC